rnacentral:lncRNA from 1 species
UUCCCUUUCACUAUCAUAAAUAUGGAUGUUUGGUUACGGUAAGUUGAUUUUUUAGGGUUUAACAUGCACUAAAUUAUUGAAGAGGGUGUAGUACUCUAUUGAAUGUGAGCUUGAAAUUUAAAGAUCAGGAUGUGGAAUUGGAGUGCCAAGUUUCGAAAGCACUUUGUCCUCACUUGCCUUUGGUACUUGCUAUCAAAGGCAAAGCUUAUUACUAGUAUUAUUACUAUUGCAGUUACUAUAUACUUGACGUUGUUAAUGAGUUUGAAUGAAUAUGAUUUUUUAGGGUUGAACUAAUUGUUUGUUUUCUGUUGGUUCUGCUUAGUUCUUUCUUAGUGGCAGGCUUUGCCAAGGUCAGUCACAGCCUAGCUUGGCAUAGCCUAGCCUAGACAAUGCAAAAUGCAUAAAGUGAAGUUCCUGGAGUCCAAGUAGGGUGAAAUUUUGCCAGGCCGACUGUAUACCCAUUUCCCAGGUAAAUACACCCAUAGCUAGCUGAUAUUCCACCGUACACUGUAGCACCAGUGUUAUAUGUCCAUAGUAUGUUCCCUGUGUUGGUGUCGAUGGCAUAUAUGGGUCCGUUAGAAGCUACGGAACCUGUGAAAAGGACAUUGUUUGCCACCAUAACAGGUGCUUGGGCAGUGUCAUUGCUUGGGUUUGCCGUGGACCAUAUGAUUUCUCCUGUGUUGGCAUCUAAAGCUACCCAUGCUCCUGCUGUUGUUGUUUGGUUAGAAGGUGUGAGCAUGAAGCUUUUGCGGUCGCUGUUUGCUAUGUUGGUGUAAACUCUUCUCCCAUCUGUGGCUGCACCCCAUAGUCCUCCUCCUUCCUUCCCACCCGGACCUGCCAGCUGAGAAACUCAAAUUUUAAUUUAACAAAAAAAAUCCAAAUGUGUCAUGUGACUAGAAUCUCUUUUUGUUCAUGCUUACAUUAAGCCAGACUAUAUCACCAUUGUCACGGUCUAAAGCCCAGGCAAAGCCACUCUUCUGCACUGCAACUGCAACAUCACGAGAUGUUCCAUUAGACCUUAUAGUGAGGAGCAUUGGAGCUUCUCCAAAGUCUGCAUCUAAAUUAGGACCCGGAGGGCAGUCAGUGUUGUUUGGAACUAAACAAGCGAAAUAAAAAAUGUCAUAGCCCCCCAAUUGCCUGGACCAUCUGAUCCUUCCAGAAUCGAUAUCCAGUGCUACAAUCGAGUUGUAGUUUGUAUCAGGGCCUAUCAGGAUGACUUGGUUUAGCUGUCUGAUUGUUUUGCUCCUCUUGACAUUUCAAAACUUCAGCAGGAGCUGUGUAGAGGUUCCCAGUGGCCACAUAAACUAAUCUCCUAUUUGUAUCGAUUGCAGGGCUGCUUCCCCAUACAGCUGCUCCCGCAUAUCCUCCCAACCUGCCUCCAUUAUCUGGAAGCAUAUAGGUUUUCCAUAACAUUGCCCCAGUUCGUAGGGCUAGCUUUACAACGCUGCCUCUGAAAGUGCAGCAUUGCUCUGGUGGUAAUCCUUCCUCUAGAGAUGAAACUCCUACAUAGUAGGCCCUGCAAGCAAAUCAGGUAAAUAAAAUCAUUAGCAAACAAGAAACACUGGAAACGCAGAUCUAAAGGCGACUAACCCCAUGUGAACUGUUCCAGAUCCUGUGAUCAGAACCCUGGGACAGGGAUCUAGUGUAGUAGACCAAACAAGUCUCCCAUUUGAUCGUGCAACAGCAAUCACUACCGCUGGUCCAUAUAUCCCUACAAUCAACAGGUCCCCAUCAACUGUCGGGGUCGAUCUCGAGACC